rnacentral:lncRNA from 1 species
CUUCGGAGGUCAGAGCUCGGCGGGGUGCGGCUAGUGGCGGAGCGCGCUGCGAGGGGAGGGCUUUCCACUGUCGCUGGCGUGAACUCGCGUGCCCGGUGGGUAUCAGGGAAGAACCCCCGCCCCGGACCCCCAGAUCUGCCAUGGCCGAGGUAGCGAUCGUCUCUGCGGCCACGAAGACUGUUUUAACUUGUACCACUUUCCCUUCCAUUUUUCCUGGGGUGCCUCUCACCCUGCAUCUGCGCGUUCAGCAAGCUGGAUUUCGGGAAUGCUCAGUUCAGAAGAGAAAAAAUUGCCGGGAAUCAAGUCCUUCUUUUUGUUAGUCGGUAGUCGAUUGAUGGGAAGUGUUCAAAAUCAUUCGAUGUGGUGACAAGGCUUCACCAGGUACUGCCUUCUAACGAGCUGGCCAUUUCCACAUGUCAGAUAGGACCAACUUGCCUUUUAACUACCCGUGUGAUACUUAAACACUGUUGCCGGUAUCACAGCUUUUCUUCAAAACAGGAAGCAACGAGAAUGAGGGCAUUCCAGUAGC